GCCGACAAGCCUCUUGCCCAGAGUAACCGCUGAGGACGUGGUUCGCGCUCGCCCUCUAGUGGCUCCCGCCGACAGGGAGAGGAUGUGGCCGACAAACGCGGUUCCCGGAGGUUUGGGCGGGAAAAGUCGUCUUUGUAGUUUUCGGUUUUUUGGAGUAGAAAUAACUCACAAGUCCCUCCACCCUCCAGGAGCGAUGGAACAUGGCUACCCUCUGGAAACUGGUUAUACUUUGAAGAAUAAAUGAGAAUUGAAAGGUUAUGUAAAUAAGCUGGUAAAAGAAACAACACGUGUGUGUGUGUGUGUGUGUGUGUGUGUGUGUGUGUGUGUGUUAGAAUGGAGAAAUCCAAGGACUGCAACAUGUAACAAUCCCAUUUGUUGAAAAAUUAAACAAAGAUUUAGCUGUUUGAAAUCACAUUACAAACAGGGAAAGAAUGCAAGGGUUAGCUUUACAUAUCUAUGUGUUGCAUUAAUGUGCAUUAACAUUUUUAUAGUUGUUACUCCAUAACUUGCCUCUUCAGAUCACUGAACCUGGGAGGAAAAGGUAACUAGAUGCUUGUACAUACGCAGUCAUUACUUUUAAUUAAGUACUACAAAAUGCUAACACUAUUGAUUAAGAGAAGGAUGUAAAUACAAGUGAUCAAAGGGGACUUUAAAAUGGCAGCAUAAUGUUUUUCAAUCAAUCAUCUUGAUUCUGUCAAGUGAAAGUAAUUCUUUUAUAUAACAGCUAUGUCUUGAACAACAAAACACGGACAUGUGUUAGUUUAGCAUUAACACACCCAAACUACUGCAUGGGGUAAAAAGCUCAUUGUUUUGAAUUAUCCUGGGUGGGAACUUAACAUACCAUCAUGUUCUGGAUGGCCUUAUGACUUAAUUUUGGCUGUCACAUCAUAACAUAAAAUCUAUUCCUUUUUUUAAAAAACCUUUUGAAAUUCCCAUGGCCCUAAUUAUAAAACAAUCAGAUUUUUUUUAAAGGAAUUGUACUACUUCAGACUUUGGCAUGUUCAAUGAAAAGGUUGCAUCAGGUUUUUUUUUAAUUGGACUUAAAUUGUUAAAUUGUUUUAGCUUCUGUUCAUUUCUGACAAAGGGCCAAACCAUAUGACCUCUCCAUGUGUGGCCAUUUGCUUGUUUUCUAAGUCCAGACUGUGAGGAAUCUGUUGUUUGCCUAAGAGAGUGUUGUGAAUAGGUCAUCACUGAUUUCCAGAAUGGCUAAUGGUUAUGCCCAGCAAUAUUAGGGAGAGUUGGCAUGACAUUGUAGUCUGCACACAAUAUAUUCAGAUCUAUUUGCCACUAGAUGGACGCAAUCUGAAUGUGUUUUAAAAAAAAGUAAAAGGAAAAAUUCUUUGUACACAAAACAGCAUGUAUGAAGAACCAUAAGGUGGCACUAUAACUUAAGAAAGUUUAAUCUAAAUUCACACAUGCAAAUGUUCUCUUCAAAUAGCUUUAAAAUACAGCUAAUAAUAACAGCAGUGAUUCAUAUGUUACAGGUUGCUUGGUAACUUGAAAAAAGUAGUAUUCCAAAAUUAUUAAUGAGAACACAUGAAAUAAACUUGUUUCAGUGCAAAGGGUGUGCCUGCCUAGUUGUAGCAACCAUUCAGUGUUGUGUGAAUAUUUAUUUUGCAUGUUAGUUUGCAGUAUUAUUUGGGGAGGGGGUUCAACAGUUAAACCAGUUUUCUCUCUUUUCCCUAGAGAUCCAGUAUUUCCAGUUGGGUUUGCAUUCUAUGCCCAAUUGUCAGGAUUAGUAUUCAAGCACAUGUCAAUUGUGCAGUAAACUUUAGUGGUAAGCAAGAAACAGCAGAACUGAGCACAAUGGUUAAUAUCUCAAGACACCUGCAAUAAAGUCCUUGGGAAAGAGCAGAGAGGAACAGCUUGGAAGACUAAUAGGGAAAAGAGAACGUACUAUAAAGUGCAGUUAAUGCAGUAUAAUCCUGAAAAAAGAGAUAACUGGAAACUUAGUAUCUCUAUGCUAAUUCAAUGAUUUAAUGAAUGGGAUGUCAUGUUCAUAGCAAGAGAAGUGCAAUGUAGCUUUAGUGAAGGCACCCUGAAUUUACUGAAGAGAUAUGGCAGGAAUAUGUAUUGUGCUGUAGACAUACAGAAUAAAUGUUUUUAUGAAUAUGUUAUAAAAUAAAUAUGUUUUCAUGUAUUUCAGUAAAAAUUCUAUGCAACUAAAAGAAAAGAGCUUAUUAAAUGUUGAGGAAAUGGAAAAA